rnacentral:tRNA from 5 species
AAAGAAAUAUCUUUAAAAAGCUUCUAACUUUUUUUCAAGCAUUCAUAUGUUUAU